GAUGAACGCUGGCGGCGUGCCUAAUACAUGCAAGUCGAGCGAAGCGGGGACGGGUGAGUAACACGUGGCUAACCUCCUAUAAGACUGGGAUCACUUCGGGAAACCUGAGCUAACCCGGAUCCUAAUAGAUGGAUCCGCGCUGCAUUAGCUAGUUGGUAAGGUAACGGCUUACAAAGGCAACGAUGCAUAGCCGACCUGAGAGGGUGAUCGGCCACACUGGAACUGAGACACGGUCCAGACUCCUACGGGAGGCAGCAGUGGGGAAUCGUCCGCAAUGGGCGAAAGCCUGACGGAGCAACGCCGCGUGAGUGAUGAAGGUCUUCGGAUCGUAAAACUCUGUUAUUAGGGAAGCGGGACCUAAUCAGAAAGCCACGGCUAACUACGUGCCAGCCGCCGCGGUAAUUC
rnacentral:rRNA from 1 species